rnacentral:rRNA from 1 species
UACGAAGGGGGCUAGCGUUGUUCGGAAUCACUGGGCGUAAAGCGCACGUAGGCGGACUUUCAAGUCAGGGGUGAAAUCCCGGAGCUCAACUUCGGAAUUGCCUUUGAUACUGUAGGUCUCGAGUCCGGAAGAGGUGGGUGGAAUUCCUAGUGUAGAGGUGAAAUUCGUAGAUAUUAGGAAGAACACCGGUGGCGAAGGCGGCCCACUGGUCCGGUACUGACGCUGAGGUGCGAAAGCGUGGGGAGCAAACAGGAUUAA